CAGUCGCCGCGGUAAUACGAGGGGGGCAAGCGUUGUCCGGAAUUAUUGGGCGUAAAGGGCUCGCAGGCGGUUUCUUAAGUCUGAUGUGAAAGCCCCCGGCUCAACCGGGGAGGGUCAUUGGAAACUGGAAACUUGAGUGCAGAAGAGGAGAGUGGAAUUCCACGUGUAGCGGUGAAAUGCGUAGAGAUGUGGAGGAACACCAGUGGCGAAGGCGACUCUCUGGUCUGUAACUGACGCUGAGGAGCGAAAGCGUGGGGAGCGAACAGGAUUAGAUACCCCAGUAGUCCCUGUCUCUUAUACA
rnacentral:rRNA from 1 species